GUUACUGGUCUGGAAGGGCCUCUGAAGAGUCCAGGAAUAGGUCUGCUAACCAAAGGAAUGACCCCCUCACAGAGACCACCACUGACUGCCAUGUGAGCCGCCGUCCCUCCAGCUGCCCUCACUCCACCGGCUGCUCCCUCUCACAUCCCUCUCUGGAUUCCUUAUCACAAGCCACCCCAAUAAUGAUGCUGAAGACAGAGAACAAAGAGAAGUAGAUGAAAUGACUCACUGAAGAACACUUUUCUAAUUAGGUGCCAACUUAAGAAAACUGGGCUUAUGUCAAAGUCUGAACAUUUAUUCUUUGAGUUCUCCAAUCAAGGGAGCCUGGUCUAUAAGCAUGUAGUGCUUCACAUCAAAACAUACCUCUCCAAUAGCAAUGUCAUAAAAAUGCAGGUGUGUGACCUUUGGCAAACUACUUCAGCUCCCUUGCCUCACAGCGUAAUUCACAUGUAAAAUGGGGACUCCCCUCAGACCUCCUUCAUAAGGUUGCUGUAUGGAUUCUGUGAGUUAUUUCAUGAGUAGUCCUGAGAACAGAGCCUGGCAUAAAGAGUAGAAGAGUCAAGAUUUACAUAAAUCCCUAGAUUCGAAUUUUUAUCCUUCCUCACCUAUAUAGUUCAGAUACCAGUACAAGUUGGGUGACUUCUGGCUCUCAUCCUCCAAGAAGAGGGAAAGACUGAGGAAACGAGAACCAACGCAGUUAUUGCUGAACCCAGGAUAAUCAGAACUGCUGGAGUCAUCCUGUGACCAUAGAGGGAGAUUUCACUGAAUCCUGAUGAUGGCAGAAGAGAAUUAUGAAGAGUGCCUCCGUCCUUGAAGACUCUGUUGAGCAGCCAAACUGACCCUGGAACUGCCUAUUUCAAAAUUCCUCAUGAAGUAAGCUUUAAAAUGGCCUUCUUAUUUAAGCCAUUUUUAGGAAUAUAGAGAACAAAAGUCAGAUAUUACUUGAGAAGCAGAGUGUCAGAGAACCAGGAAUUAAAGACAUAAGCUAAUCCCCAAUCAAGCAUCUAACUGCAUCCUGCCUUUAAGGAUUGGGCCCCAGAACUUCUCAGGGAUUCUUCCAGAGAAAUCAGGAAUAACCUAUCUACUAAUGAUCAGCACCUGUGUCUUUGUGUCUGAGGCCAAGAAUAAAUUCAUCAACUGGGUAGCCACUACAGCAGAAGAAGCCAACCACAGUCAAUGUUGACUACGCGUCAAGUUGCCAGAGGCCACAGGAAAUGGACUACCUUGGAGAAUCAUCCCUGCCAACAUUUCUGAAUGGCUAUGUCACUACCAAUGGGGCCACAACAACAACACUUGCAACCCAACCUGGACUUCCUUUGACCAAAGGAAGAAAUCUAUCUUUGCCCAUGUCAGACGAAAGGUGAACACCACCCUUGCCUUGUGUCAAAAGCUUUGGUAUCCUGCCCAAUAUGCCUGGAACAGUAUAUAUUGGGAAACUGCUGUGCUGGUGGCCAGAUUCCAUAUAGCCCCCCACUUUGUCUGGAGGCCUUAAAUGGCUCCUCUAAUGUUACUCUGGGGUUUCUCCUGCCAGACAACUGUCAACACAUACUCGAAAUCAACAACAUUGUCCCCAGUGAAACACAAUCUCUUUCCUGCUUUAAUAACACCUUAAUACACUAUAAUUACAAAAA